UACAUCUAAGGGACAAAGGGCAUGGGUUGGGGGUCCAACACUGCAGGUUCACUUCCCCGCGUUGCUGUUUUCAGCUGUGUGGCCCUGGCUUGCACACCUCAUCUUUCUGAGCCUCCAUUUCCUCAUCUACUAAUGGGUCUGGUCCCUGAACUUUUUUUUGCCCUGAUGUGAUUCUCAGAAAGAAUGUGGCAGGGUCCCCAGAACAGGAUAUGUACAAAAUUCUUUUUAGGAGCUACCAUAGCAGUGCUUUCAUUCUAAACCAGUUCUUCCUUCAGACAGUGAAUUGAGAAGGCAAGAGAGGAAAUACGAACUGAACUUUAAUCUAACCUGACUUCAUCUUUGCAGGAUUUCAAAUAUUAGUGAGGAAAGAGAGGAACAGGGCAAGAGAGAAAACAUGAACAUGAAACAGGUUGGAAACCAUGGUAAAACAUUCCAUGAAUUGCAGCGAUGAGUGCCUCUGCAGGGGACCAGCCCAGGAUGGUCUGAUCCAGACUCGGGUGAUGGCAGGGGGGCAGCAGGCCCCCUUCCUCGGCCCCUCUGGCCAACAUUCCCUGCCAGCCUCCAUGGACCAGAGCUGGGGGACAGGGGACUGUGCCUCGGAAGUCUGGAGGGGAAGGGGUGGCUUCCUGACUCAAGCACUCAGGGCCUUUUAAGAAACCCAUCCCUGAGGCCCACACCUCCCCAUGUGCACAAAAUCUCCUUCCCAUGUGAUAACACUGAGGGCCACCCUUCUGCCUGAUGUAUGCACACCAAGGUUUGAACCAGCAUUGAAUUCUGGUUACUUUUGCAAGGGUCGUGGAGGUGAAACCUGGCUGUGUCAUGCGGUCAAAGUUCAAAUGUCACUUUGAAGCUAAGACAGUCAAUCACUGCAGGAGGGGAGAGACAGAGACUUGGGAAGCUGAGGCCAUCUUCCCCUGGGGUGACAGUACCCCCCCUCAAUUCCUGGUUCCCAGGAAGGCCUGUCCCUCCUCUGAGAAAAUUCAUCUUCCUCCCAAGUCCCAACACUGUCCAUACACCCCCACCCAUCCCAGUUGCUGUUCUGUCUGACCAAGAGGGGCUGGGGCUUGAACCCUGGAUCUUUUGCUCACCUGCCAAGUGCCCUGCCCUGGAGGAGGGCAGUGCUUUGCCCCAUUCU
rnacentral:lncRNA from 1 species